CUCUUUUGGCUAGAGUUGCUGUGAGGAUGGAAUGGGGAACCUGGACAGCUCCAGCAAUCUUACUGCAGAAGGUGCUUCUGGGUGGAUCCCAGGCAGAGGAAUCAGAGGCAAAACAUGGAGGGAGUGAACUCCUGAAAUCACUUGGGUUCUGAAUCCAGCCAAGCCCGAAACCAGCCCUGCCCUGGGCUUUUCAGCUCAACCUACUGCCUGCCCAGGGCCAUCAAUAAUAAAUGUCCACAGACAGCUGAAGGACAUUAAAGACAGAUGGUGAUGGAUCAGAGCACUCAUCAGCCACUGGGUGUAGACUGUAUAAAAAGCUGAGCCCAGAGGCCACCAUGAUCAACCUGCAACCUGGCAAGAAAUGGACUCAACUCCACAGACAGCAGUUGUCAGGGAGCCCAGACAUGUAAGGAUGCGGCAAAGGCCCUCGCCAGAUGCUGAAUGCGGAUGCCGUCAUCUUGGACUUCCUAGCUUCCAGAACGCUGCCUCUGUCAUAUACCAAGCUUGCAUCUAUAUGUGGCUCAGUGUCCAGGCUGCCUGACAUCCCAGGACAAUGCUGCACUGAUUUACUCUCUACAGCUCCAUGAAGCAGUGAUGAAAGCAAGGAAAAUUUUAUUCCUAACUUCAGAGGGAAUAUAUGCAAUGUUGCACUCUUCAGAGACAGAGCACUACGGAAGGGAGCCCCAUUCCCAAGCAUGGUGUCCAAUACACUGAAAGAAUAACUGGGCUCAGUAAUGCACCUAGAGACUCAGAUUCCAGACCUGCCCACUUGCUUUACUAUCCAAAACAACCAUGACACAUGACUUCUCUGGCGGGGUGUUGGCCAAGACAAACUGAACUAUAGAAGAUCCUUGACUUGCCAACGUUCAAAUGAUGAACUUUCAAAAAUAGCGAAACUGGCUGCAGAGCAAAAGCUUUUCAGCUCUGCACAACACCAACAGAUGGCGCUAAGUGUCACCCUUGUGGAGAGCAGAGGGACCUCGGAAGGGCCUUUGGAAAUCUAAUCUGGUUUUGAGUUCUUGGUGGGAAAAUGCACCUUUAAGUUGGGGGAGUUUGAAGACGUUGCCAAGACACGUGCUGCAGCAUUUGAUCUUUUCUGCCGCACUGGCUUCUGCAAUUAACAUGCUUUCACCAGUGAAACUCAGGUUGCGGGGAGAGCAUUCUUCCAGGUUCAUGCCUGUUGUCAUGGAGUAAUUAUAAUUCAUGUCUCCGUUCACAGUGUCCUGGUUUGUAGAAUAAAAUAUCUGGUCCACCCACCC
rnacentral:lncRNA from 1 species